GCUCAGGAUGAACGCUUGCUACAGGCUUAACACAUGCAAGUCGAGGGGCAGCAUUUUAGUUUGCUUGCAAACUAAAGAUGGCGACCGGCGCACGGGUGAGUAACACGUAUCCAACCUGCCGAUAACUCGGGGAUAGCCUUUCGAAAGAAAGAUUAAUAUCCGAUGGUAUAUUAAAACCGCAUGGUUUUACUAUUAAAGAAUUUCGGUUAUCGAUGGGGAUGCGUUCCAUUAGUUUGUUGGCGGGGUAACGGCCCACCAAGACUACGAUGGAUAGGGGUUCUGAGAGGAAGGUCCCCUACAUUGGAACUGAGACACGGUCCAAACUCCUACGGGAGGCAGCAGUGAGGAAUAUUGGUCAAUGGACGAGAGUCUGAACCAGCCAAGUAGCGUGAAGGAUGACUGCCCUAUGGGUUGUAAACUUCUUUUAUAUGGGAAUAAAGUAUUCCACGUGUGGAAUUUUGUAUGUACCAUAUGAAUAAGGAUCGGCUAACUCCGGGGCCCGCAGCCGCGGGUAAUACGGAGGAUCCGAGCGGUUAUCCGGAUUUAUUGGGGUUAAAAGGAGGCGUAGGUGGAUUGGUAAGUCAGUUGUGGAAAGUUUGCGGCUCAACNGUAAAAUUGCAGUUGAAACUGGCAGUCUUGAGUACAGUAGAGGUGGGCGGAAUUCGUGGUGUAGCGGUGAAAUGCUUAGAUAUCACGAAGAACUCCGAUUGCGAAGGCAGCUCACUAGACUGCAACUGACACUGAUGCUCGAAAGUGUGGGUAUCAAACAGGAUUAGAUACCCUGGUAGUCCACACAGUAAACGAUGAAUACUCGCUGUUUGCGAUAUACAGUAAGCGGCCAAGCGAAAGCAUUAAGUAUUCCACCUGGGGAGUACGCCGGCAACGGUGAAACUCAAAGGAAUUGACGGGGGCUCGCACAAGCGGAGGAACAUGUGGUUUAAUUCGAUGAUACGCGAGGAACCUUACCCGGGCUUAAAUUGCAUUUGAAUAAUCUGGAAACAGGUUAGCCGCAAGGCAAAUGUGAAGGUGCUGCAUGGUUGUCGUCAGCUCGUGCCGUGAGGUGUCGGCUUAAGUGCCAUAACGAGCGCAACCCUUAUCUUUAGUUACUAACAGGUCAUGCUGAGGACUCUAGAGAGACUGCCGUCGUAAGAUGUGAGGAAGGUGGGGAUGACGUCAAAUCAGCACGGCCCUUACGUCCGGGGCUACACACGUGUUACAAUGGGGGGUACAGAAGGCAGCUACCUGGUGACAGGAUGCUAAUCCCAAAAACCUCUCUCAGUUCGGAUCGAAGUCUGCAACCCGACUUCGUGAAGCUAGAUUCGCUAGUAAUCGCGCAUCAGCCAUGGCGCGGUGAAUACGUUCCCGGGCCUUGUACACACCGCCCGUCAAGCCAUGAAAGCCGGGGGUACCUGAAGUACGUAACCGCAAGGAGCGUCCUAGGGUAAAACUGGUAAUUGG
rnacentral:rRNA from 1 species